AGAGUUUGAUCCUGGCUCAGAUUGAACGCUGGCGGUAUGCUUUACACAUGCAAGUCGAACGGAUUUGGGGGCUUGCUCCCAAGUUAGUGGCGAACGGGUGAGUAAUAUAUCGGAACAUAUCCGGAAGUGGGGGAUAACGUAGCGAAAGUUACGCUAAUACCGCAUAUGCCCUGAGGGGGAAAGGGGGGGAUCGCAAGACCUCUCGCUUUCGGAGUGGCCGAUAUCGGAUUAGCUAGAUGGUGAGGUAAUGGCUCACCAUGGCGACGAUCCGUAGCUGGUCUGAGAGGACGACCAGCCACACUGGAACUGAGACACGGUCCAGACUCCUACGGGAGGCAGCAGUGGGGAAUUUUGGACAAUGGGCGCAAGCCUGAUCCAGCCAUACCGCGUGAGUGAAGAAGGCCUUCAGGUUGUAGAGCUCUUUCAGCCGGAAAGAAAUCGCAUUCCUUAAUACGGGGUGUGGAUGACGGUACCGGAAGAAGAAGCACCGGCUAACUACGUGCCAGCCGCCGCGGU
rnacentral:rRNA from 1 species